rnacentral:rRNA from 1 species
CAGUCGCCACGGGAAAACGGAGGGAGCUAGCGUUGUUCGGAAUUACUGGGCGUAAAGCGCGCGUAGGCGGUUACUCAAGUCAGAGGUGAAAGCCCGGGGCUCAACCCCGGAACUGCCUUUGAAACUAGGUGACUAGAAUCUUGGAGAGGUCAGUGGAAUUCCGAGUGUAGAGGUGAAAUUCGUAGAUAUUCGGAAGAACACCAGUGGCGAAGGCGACUGACUGGACAAGUAUUGACGCUGAGGUGCGAAAGCGUGGGGAGCAAACAGGAUUAGAUACCCCCGUAGUCCCUGUCUCUUAUAC